UUGUUCGCUUCGCAUUUUUGAUGUACAGAAGUUAAACAACGCGACAUCGCCAACAAAACCAUAACUGUCACGUGCGAUCGGGAAGACACAUCCCUUAGCAGAUAGAUUCUAAUCAGAGCGAUGGGAAAGUGCUAGCCACGUGACCAUCCAUCGUCUCCUCCCUCCAAGUCGGUGUGACCUACAUCGUUGUUCACAAACAGCUUGUCUAGCUCGGCUGCUCGCCAGCCUGCGUUGGCUUCAAAACUGAACUUCACGAUAGGUACCGUCAAGCCAGAACAGCGUGUCUUACAGACUGAUGGAAGAUCAUGAAGAUCAAACGGGGGUACUCGACGCAUAUGGGACGGGUUAUGCAAUCACCUUUGAACUUUGAACAAGAACUCGUGUCAGAGCAAGACAACGGCAGAUAAAACCAUGGGACCUCUGUGCGCGUCAUAUCGCAUCAGCCAAUCACUGCCGGUGGCUGUUGCUCUGACAGAGCCAAUCACAACAGUUCUGCUAUCGCCCCUCGUGGUCGACCUGUAUUCCCACGCCGAGCUCACGCUUAGUUGCAACAAACAUUACCUGAUGUUUGUGGAGUUUGUGUUUGUUGUCAUUACAAUAUGCAGCUUUUUAGCUCUAUCACUAUGCAUGAGCAGAAUUAUUCGCCUGUUGCCCAAAGGUAACUCAGACAUUGAGAAAAGUUUGAAAAGUGCAUUCGUCAUCACGACAAUAUUGAACCUCGUUAUGACAUUGGCGUUUCUCUCCGGAAUUUCCCGAGAUCAGCCUUCAGAUGACAUGGACGAUGAGGGUUGCCAAUAUUGGUCAAUGAAACAAAUGGCCCGCUCAAUAGGGCUGAAGUCCCUCAUUCCACAAGUCGUUAUGUGCAUCACCGUCUUACUCUCUUCAAUGUUCUUAUGUAUAAACCGACAAAAAAGAGGCAUCUCAGCGAAUAAAGACCCGUCAGAUCAGAACGUCGCAAAGCAUAUAGUUCUGCCUCUGUUAUCAACGUUACUGUUUCAAGUAUUUUAUUUCAUACUACGGUUGACGAUGUCCCGCUGUAUGUGUGGCUGGUUCACGCUAGUGUCUCGGAGGAUAGGGAGAACGCUGGAGCUGUGUUGGAUCAAGUCUAUAUUCGUAAUCACUUUACAGAUACUCUAUGCUUUCUAUUUGAGGCGUCGCCACACAUCCAGCCUCUCGUAAACAAUUGCCAUAGUGAUUAGACAAACAGUUGAGAAACAUAUAUCAAUAACUUAACCCUCGUUGAGCUGAUAACGAAAGAGGGAACUAAAUUAAUAAAGUCAUUUUAUCAAUA